CCUACGGGGGGCAGCAGUGGGGAAUAUUGGACAAUGGGCGAAAGCCUGAUCCAGCCAUGCCGCGUGUGUGAAGAAGGCCUUCGGGUUGUAAAGCACUUUCAGUGGGGAAGAAAGCCUUGGGGCUAAUACCCUCGAGGAAGGACAUCACCCACAGAAGAAGCACCGGCUAACUCCGUGCCAGCAGCCGCGGUAAUACGGAGGGUGCGAGCGUUAAUCGGAAUUACUGGGCGUAAAGCGCGCGUAGGCGGUCUGAUAAGCCGGUUGUGAAAGCCCCGGGCUCAACCUGGGAACGGCAUCCGGAACUGGCAGGCUAGAGUGCAGGAGAGGAAGGUAGAAUUCCCGGUGUAGCGGUGAAAUGCGUAGAGAUCGGGAGGAAUACCAGUGGCGAAGGCGGCCUUCUGGACUGACACUGACGCUGAGGUGCGAAAGCGUGGGUAGCAAACAGGAUUAGAUACCCUUGUAGUC
rnacentral:rRNA from 1 species